UGCCAGCCGCCGCGGUAAUACGGAGGGUGCGAGCGUUAAUCGGAAUUACUGGGCGUAAAGGGCGCGUAGGUGGCCAGAUUAGUCGGGUGUGAAAGCCCCGGGCUUAACUCGGGAAUUGCAUUCGAUACUGCCUGGCUAGAGUGCAGUAGAGGGAAGCGGAAUUCCGGGUGUAGCGGUGAAAUGCGUAGAUAUCCGGAGGAACACCAGUGGCGAAGGCGGCUUUCUGGACCAAUACUGACGCUGAGAUGCGAAAGCGUGGGGAGCGAACAGGAUUAGAUA
rnacentral:rRNA from 1 species